UGAGGAACAUGACCUUCGGCGGGGGAUAGCCGGCUCAACGGCCGGGUAAUACCGCGUACGACCACAUGGGGACAUCCCUGAGUGGUGAAAGCAGCAAUGCGCCGAUGGAGUGCCUCGCGGCCUAUCAGCUAGUUGGUGAGGUAACGGCUCACCAAGGCGACGACGGGUAGCUGGUCUGAGAGGAUGGCCAGCCACAUUGGGACCGAGACACGGCCCAGACCUNUACGGGAGG
rnacentral:rRNA from 1 species